rnacentral:misc_RNA from 1 species
AAAUUUAUAGUUACAUGGGGAAUCGCAGUACUUCGUUGUAAUUAGAUAAUGACUUGUCAAUUAAAUUUACACAGUUGUAUAUUUAAAUUUCACAUAAAUGAAGAAUUAAUUGGAAAAAUAAAAUAAAAUAAAACCAACAAAAGAGUUUGGCAGAAACGUAAUCAUACAUUAAUUUUACACUUGACAUUAUUCCUGUUAUAGAAGACUGCACUUGAUAUACAUUUUAAUAUUUUAUUGCCUUUGAACUUGGAAUUGAAACUUUCCUAUAAACUCAUUAUUUCACAGAAGAUGUGAUCCAAAAUUACAUUUGAUAUUCCCACAUAGGGAAAACCAUAUCAUAGUACAAGAUAUACAGCCUACAUAAUUAAGGGAGAUGAAUAUUCUAUCCAAAUAAAUAUC